rnacentral:rRNA from 1 species
CCUACGGGGGGCAGCAGUGAGGAAUAUUGGUCAAUGGUCGGGAGACUGAACCAGCCAAGCCGCGUGUGGGAUGAAGGUACAGAGUAUCGUAAACCUCUUUUGUCAGGGAACAAAGGCGGGGACGUGUCCCCGGAUGAGUGUACCUGAAGAAAAAGCAUCGGCUAACUCCGUGCCAGCAGCCGCGGUAAUACGGAGGAUGCGAGCGUUAUCCGGAUUUAUUGGGUGAAAGGGGGGCGCAGGGGGUGUGUUAAGGCAGGGGUAAAAGCCCGGGGCUCAACCCCGGCUCGCCGUUGAAACUGGGAGUCUCGAGUUGGAGAGAAGUAUGCGGAAUGCGCGGUGUAGCGGUGAAAUGCAUAGAUAUCGGGCAGAACUCCGAUUGCGAAGGCAGCAUGCCGGCUCCACACUGACGCUGAGGCACGAAAGCGUGGGUAUCGAACAGGAUUAGAUACCCGGGUAGUC